rnacentral:rRNA from 1 species
CGAAGCCCCAGUGAACGGCGGCCGUAACUAUAACGGUCCUAAGGUAGCGAAAUUCCUUGUCAGGUAAGUUCUGACCCGCAUGAAAGGCGUAAUGAUUUGGGCACUGUCUCAACAGCCCGCCCGGCGAAAUUGUAGUACCGGUGAAGAUGCCGGUUACCCGCGACAAGACGGAAAGACCCCAUGGAGCUUUACUGUAGCCUAAUAUUGGGUUUCGAUGUUGCAUGCACAGGAUAGAUGGGACACAGGGAAACAGGAGCUUUGGCUUCUGCGGAGUGGCCGUUGGGAUACCAUCCUUGCGAUAUUGGAAUUCUAACCUGCGGCUCUGAAUCGAGUCGGGGGACAUUGUUAGGUGGGCAGUUUGACUGGGGCGGUCGCCUCCUAAAAAGUAACGGAGGCGUUCAAAGGUUCGCUCAGCUUGAACGGAAAUCAAGCAAAAGAGUGCAAACGCAGAAGCGAGCCUAACUGCGAGACUGACGGGUCGAGCAGUAACGAAAGUUGGAGUUAGUGAUCCGGUGGUAUGUGAGUGGAAAUGCCAUCGCUCAACGGAUAAAAGUUACCCUGGGGAUAACAGGCUGAUCUCCCCCAAGAGUCCACAUCGACGGGGAGGUUUGGCACCUCGAUGUCGGCUCAUCGCAUCCUGGGGCUGAAGUAGGUCCCAAGGGUUGGGCUGUUCGCCCAUUAAAGCGGUACGCGAGCUGGGUUCAGAACGUCGUGAGACAGUUCGGUCCCUAUCUGUCGUGGGCGCAGGAUAUUUGAUGGGAGCUGUCCCUAGUACGAGAGGACCGGGACGGACGUACCUCUGGCGCACCAGUUGUUCCGCCAGGAGCAUAGCUGGGCAACUACGUACGGAUCGGAUAAACGCUGAAAGCAUCUAAGCGUGAAGCCGACCCAAAGAUAAGAUAUCCCAUUGUUUUAAACAAGUAAGACCCCUUGAAGACUACAAGGUUGAUAGGCACGAUGUGUAAGUGGAGCGAUCCAUUCAGCAAGCGUGUACUAAUAGGUCGAGGGCUUGACCAC